rnacentral:rRNA from 1 species
GAUGAACGCUGGCGGCGUGCCUAAUACAUGCAAGUCGAGCGAAUGGAUUAAGAGCUUGCUCUUAUGAAGUUAGCGGCGGACGGGUGAGUAACACGUGGGUAACCUGCCCAUAAGACUGGGAUAACUCCGGGAAACCGGGGCUAAUACCGGAUAACAUUUUGAACCGCAUGGUUUGAAAUUGAAAGGCGGCUUCGGCUGUCACUUAUGGGUGGACCCGCGUCGCAUUAGCUAGUUGGGGAGGUAACGGCUCACCAAGGCAACGAUGCGUAGCCGACCGGAGAGGGUGAUCGGCCACACUGGGACUGAGACACGGCCCAGACUCCUACGGGAGGCAGCAGUAGGGAAUCUUCCGCAAUGGACGAAAGUCUGACGGAGCAACGCCGCGUGAGUGAUGAAGGCUUUCGGGUCGUAAAACUCUGUUGUUAGGGAAGAACAAGUGCUAGUUGAAUAAGCUGGCACCUUGACGGUACCUAACCAGAAAGCCACGGCUAACUACGUGCCAGCCGCCGCAGUAA